AACGAACGCUGGCGGCAUGCCUAACACAUGCAAGUCGAACGAGACCUUCGGGUCUAGUGGCGCACGGGUGCGUAACGCGUGGGAACCUGCCCUUAGGUUCGGAAUAACUCCCCGACAGGGGUGCUAAUACCGGAUAAUGUCUUCGGACCAAAGAUUUAUCGCCUUUGGAUGGGCCCGCGUUGGAUUAGCUAGUUGGUAGGGUAAAAGCCUACCAAGGCGACGAUCCAUAGCUGGUCUGAGAGGAUGAUCAGCCACACUGGGACUGAGACACGGCCCAGACUCGUACGGGAGGGAGCAGUGGGGAAUAUUGGACACGGGACGAAAGCGUGAUCCAGCAAUGCCGCGGGAGUGAUGAAGGCCUUAGGGUUGUAAAGCUCUUUUACCCGGGAUGAUAAUGACAGUACCGGGAGAAUAAGCUCCGGCUAACUCCGUG
rnacentral:rRNA from 1 species